UGUGGAACUUAAAAAUCAACGGCCACCGCGAACCUAAGACUAAACCCACCGGGGCUACAGACAUCGCAGAGCAUGGCCGAUAUUUUUCGGUUGGGGCGACCUUGGAGAACAACAGAUCCUCCAAAAACAAGACCACACCUCUUUACUUAGAGCCACCCCUCAAAGUGCUAAUAGUGACCAGACCCAAUAUAAUUGAUUAAUGGACCAAGCUACCCCA
rnacentral:rRNA from 1 species